rnacentral:rRNA from 1 species
GGUUAAGCGACUAAGCGUACACGGUGGAUGCCCUGGCAGUCAGAGGCGAUGAAGGACGUGCUAAUCUGCGAAAAGCGUCGGUAAGGUGAUAUGAACCGUUAUAGCCGGCGAUGUCCGAAUGGGGAAACCCAGUGCAAUUCGUUGCACUAUCGUUAACUGAAUACAUAGGUUAACGAGGCGAACCGGGGGAACUGAAACAUCUAAGUACCCCGAGGAAAAGAAAUCAACCGAGAUUCCCCCAGUAGCGGCGAGCGAACGGGGAGCAGCCCAGAGUCUGAAUCAGCUUGUGUGUUAGUGGAACGGUCUGGAAAGUCCGACGGUACAGGGUGAUAGUCCCGUACACCAAAAUGCACAGGCUGUGAACUCGAAGAGUAGGGCGGGACACGUGGUAUCCUGUCUGAAUAUGGGGGGACCAUCCUCCAAGGCUAAAUACUCCUGACUGACCGAUAGUGAACCAGUACCGUGAGGGAAAGGCGAAAAGAACCCCGGCGAGGGGAGUGAAAAAGAACCUGAAACCGUGUACGUACAAGCAGUGGGAGCACCUUUAUGGUGUGACUGCGUACCUUUUGUAUAAUGGGUCAGCGACUUAUAUUCUGUAGCAAGGUUAACCGUAUAGGGGAGCCGCAGGGAAACCGAGUCUUAACUGGGCGUUAAGUUGCAGGGUAUAGACCCGAAACCCGGUGAUCUAGCCAUGGGCAGGUUGAAGGUUGGGUAACACUAACUGGAGGACCGAACCGACUAAUGUUGAAAAAUUAGCGGAUGACUUGUGGCUGGGGGUGAAAGGCCAAUCAAACCGGGAGAUAGCUGGUUCUCCCCGAAAGCUAUUUAGGUAGCGCCUCGUGAAUUCAUCUUCGGGGGUAGAGCACUGUUUCGGCUAGGGGGUCAUCCCGACUUACCAACCCGAUGCAAACUACGAAUACCGAAGAAUGUUAUCACGGGAGACACACGGCGGGUGCUAACGUCCGUCGUGAAGAGGGAAACAACCCAGACCGCCAGCUAAGGUCCCAAAGUCAUGGUUAAGUGGGAAACGAUGUGGGAAGGCACAGACAGCCAGGAUGUUGGCUUAGAAGCAGCCAUCAUUUAAAGAAAGCGUAAUAGCUCACUGGUCGAGUCGGCCUGCGCGGAAGAUGUAACGGGGCUAAACCAUGCACCGAAGCUGCGGCAGCGACACUUAUGUGUUGUUGGGUAGGGGAGCGUUCUGUAAGCCUGCGAAGGUGGCCUGUGAGGGCUGCUGGAGGUAUCAGAAGUGCGAAUGCUGACAUAAGUAACGAUAAAGCGGGUGAAAAGCCCGCUCGCCGGAAGACCAAGGGUUCCUGUCCAACGUUAAUCGGGGCAGGGUGAGUCGACCCCUAAGGCGAGGCCGAAAGGCGUAGUCGAUGGGAAACAGGUUAAUAUUCCUGUACUUGGUGUUACUGCGAAGGGGGGACGGAGAAGGCUAUGUUAGCCGGGCGACGGUUGUCCCGGUUUAAGCAUGUAGGCGGAGGUUCCAGGUAAAUCCGGUACCUUUUAACGCUGAGGUGUGAUGACGAGGCACUACGGUGCUGAAGUAACAAAUGCCCUGCUUCCAGGAAAAGCCUCUAAGCAUCAGGUAACAUCAAAUCGUACCCCAAACCGACACAGGUGGUCAGGUAGAGAAUACCAAGGCGCUUGAGAGAACUCGGGUGAAGGAACUAGGCAAAAUGGUGCCGUAACUUCGGGAGAAGGCACGCUGGUGUGUAGGUGAAGUCCCUGCGGAUGGAGCUGAGACCAGUCGAAGAUACCAGCUGGCUGCAACUGUUUAUUAAAAACACAGCACUGUGCAAACACGAAAGUGGACGUAUACGGUGUGACGCCUGCCCGGUGCCGGAAGGUUAAUUGAUGGGGUUAUCCGUAAGGAGAAGCUCUUGAUCGAAGCCCCGGUAAACGGCGGCCGUAACUAUAACGGUCCUAAGGUAGCGAAAUUCCUUGUCGGGUAAGUUCCGACCUGCACGAAUGGCGUAAUGAUGGCCAGGCUGUCUCCACCCGAGACUCAGUGAAAUUGAACUCGCUGUGAAGAUGCAGUGUACCCGCGGCAAGACGGAAAGACCCCGUGAACCUUUACUAUAGCUUGACACUGAACAUUGAGCCUUGAUGUGUAGGAUAGGUGGGAGGCUUUGAAGCGUGGACGCCAGUCUGCGUGGAGCCAACCUUGAAAUACCACCCUUUAAUGUUUGAUGUUCUAACGUUGGCCCCUUAUCGGGGUUGCGGACAGUGUCUGGUGGGUAGUUUGACUGGGGCGGUCUCCUCCCAAAGAGUAACGGAGGAGCACGAAGGUUAGCUAAUCCUGGUCGGACAUCAGGAGGUUAGUGCAAUGGCAUAAGCUAGCUUGACUGCGAGCGUGACGGCGCGAGCAGGUGCGAAAGCAGGUCAUAGUGAUCCGGUGGUUCUGAAUGGAAGGGCCAUCGCUCAACGGAUAAAAGGUACUCCGGGGAUAACAGGCUGAUACCGCCCAAGAGUUCAUAUCGACGGCGGUGUUUGGCACCUCGAUGUCGGCUCAUCACAUCCUGGGGCUGAAGUAGGUCCCAAGGGUAUGGCUGUUCGCCAUUUAAAGUGGUACGCGAGCUGGGUUUAGAACGUCGUGAGACAGUUCGGUCCCUAUCUGCCGUGGGCGCUGGAGAAUUGAGGGGGGCUGCUCCUAGUACGAGAGGACCGGAGUGGACGCAUCACUGGUGUUCGGGUUGUCAUGCCAAUGGCACUGCCCGGUAGCUAAAUGCGGAAGAGAUAAGUGCUGAAAGCAUCUAAGCACGAAACUUGCCCCGAGAUGAGUUCUCCCUGAGACUAUAAGUCUCCUGAAGGAACGUUGAAGACGACGACGUUGAUAGGCCGGGUGUGUAAGCGCAGCGAUGCGUUGAGCUAACCGGUACUAAUGAACCGUGAGGCUUAACCUU